rnacentral:rRNA from 1 species
UGCCAGACUCCUACGGGAGGCAGCAGUGAGGAAUAUUGGUCAAUGGACGGAAGUCUGAACCAGCCAUGCCGCGUGCAGGAAGACGGCUCUAUGAGUUGUAAACUGCUUUUGUACAAGGGUAAACCUGAAUACGUGUAUUCAGCUGAAAGUACGGUACGAAUAAGGAUCGGCUAACUCCGUGCCAGCAGCCGCGGUAAUACGGAGGAUCCGAGCGUUAUCCGGAUUCAUUGGGUUUAAAGGGUGCGUAGGUUGUUUUAUAAGUUAGCGGUGAAAUACCGAUGCUCAACAUCGGGGCUGCCGCUAAUACUGUAGGACUAGAGAUCGGAUGCAGCAGGCGGAAUGUGUAGUGUAGCGGUGAAAUGCAUAGAUAUUACACAGAACACCGAUUGCGAAGGCAGCUUGCUAGGCCGGAUCUGACACUGAUGCACGAAAGCGUGGGGAUCGAACAGGAUUAGAUACCCUUGUA